UACGGGUGGAGCAAGCGUUGUUCGGAUUUACUGGGCGUAAAGCGCGCGCAGGCGGUCCUUUAAGUCUGAUGUGAAAGCCCACGGCUCAACCGUGGAGGGUCAUUGGAAACUGGGGGACUUGAGUGCAGGAGAGAAGAGUGGAAUUCCACGUGUAGCGGUGAAAUGCGUAGAGAUGUGGAGGAACACCAGUGGCGAAGGCGACUCUUUGGCCUGUAACUGACGCUGAGGCGCGAAAGCGUGGGGAGCAAACAGG
rnacentral:rRNA from 1 species